rnacentral:rRNA from 1 species
AGUGAACGCUGGCGGCAGGCCUAAUACAUGCAAGUCGAACGGAAGCACGGUAAGCGCUUGUCUCUACGGGUGGCGAGUGGCGGACGGGUGAGGAAUAGAUAGGCAACCACUUAGUCGGGGGGGACAACGUAGGGCAAGAGACGCUACUACAGCAUACGAUCUACGGGAGAAAUCAGAAGAUCAUCGCGGCUUUCCUGACACAUAUAGAUGAUUCCGGGCUGGAUUAGCUAGUUGGUAAGGUAACGGCAAACCAAGGCAACGAUGCAUAGCUGACCUGAGAGGAUGAUCAGCCACACUGGAACUGAGACACGGUCCAGACUCCUACGGGAGGCAGCAGUGGGGAAUAUUCGGCAAUGGGCGCAAGCCUGAUCCAGCCAUGCCGCGUGAGUGAUGAAGGUCUUCGGAUUGUAAAGCCCUUUUAUUGGGGAAGAACAUCAGUAUGUUUAUACCUGGCUAUUCUGACGGUACCUAAAGAGUAAGCACCGGCUAACUUCGUG